GCCGAAGUGGCGGAACAGGCAGACGCGCACGACUCAAAAUCGUGUCCCGUAAGGGGUGUGGGUUCGAUUCCCACCUUCGGCA
rnacentral:tRNA from 1 species